CCUACGGGACGCAGCAGUGGGGAAUAUUGCACAAUGGGGGGAACCCUGAUGCAGCGACGCCGCGUGGGCGAGGAAGUAUUUCGGUAUGUAAAGCCCUAUCGGCAGGGAAGAAGAAAUGACGGUACCUGAAUAAGAAGCACCGGCUAAAUACGUGCCAGCAGCCGCGGUAAUACGUAUGGUGCAAGCGUUAUCCGGAUUUACUGGGCGUAAAGGGAGCGCAGGCGGCGCGCCAAGUCUGAUGUGAAACCCCGGGGCUCAACCCCGGGACUGCUCUUGGAACUGCGCGGCUGGAGUGCAGGAGGGGG
rnacentral:rRNA from 1 species